rnacentral:rRNA from 1 species
CAUCUAUACAGUGAAACUGCGAAUGGCUCAUUAAAUCAGUUAUCGUUUAUUUGAUAGUACAUUACUACUUGGAUAACCGUGGUAAUUCUAGAGCUAAUACAUGCUAAAAAUCCUAGUCUUUGGCUAGGAUGUAUUUAUUAGAUAAAAAACCAAUGUCUUCGGACUCUUUGGUGAUUCAUAAUAACUUUUCGAAUCGCAUAGCCUUGUGCUGGCGAUGGUUCAUUCAAAUUUCUGCCCUAUCAACUUUCGAUGGUAGGAUAGUGGCCUACCAUGGUUUCAACGGGUGACGGGGAAUCAGGGUUCUAUUCCGGAGAGGGAGCCUGAGAAACGGCUACCACAUCCAAGGAAGGCAGCAGGCGCGCAAAUUACCCAAUCCUAAUACGGGGAGGUAGUGACAAUAAAUAACGAUACAGGGCCUUUUAGGUCUUGUAAUUGGAAUGAGAACAAUUUAAAUACCUUAACGAGGAACAAUUGGAGGGCAAGUCUGGUGCCAGCAGCCGCGGUAAUUCCAGCUCCAAUAGCGUAUAUUAAAGUUGUUGCAGUUAAAAAGCUCGUAGUUGAACUUUGGACUUGAUCUGCUGGUCCACCGUUUGGUGAGUACUGGUUUGGAUCGAGUCUUUCCUCCUGAUUAGCCUUGAUGUCUUUUAUCGGAUGUCUUGGUGACUCAGGACUUUUACUUUGAAAAAAUUAGAGUGUUCAAAGCAGGCCUUUGCUCGAAUAUAUUAGCAUGGAAUAAUAGAAUAGGACGUAUGGUUCUAUUUUGUUGGUUUCUAGGACCGUCGUAAUGAUUAAUAGGGACAGUCGGGGGCAUCAGUAUUCAAUUGUCAGAGGUGAAAUUCUUGGAUUUAUUGAAGACUAACUACUGCGAAAGCAUUUGCCAAGGAUGUUUUCAUUAAUCAAGAACGAAAGUUAGGGGAUCGAAGACGAUCAGAUACCGUCGUAGUCUUAACCAUAAACUAUGCCGACUAGGGAUUGGCUGAUGUUCAUUAUAGACUCAGUCAGCACCUUACGAGAAAUCUUAAGUUUUUGGGUUCUGGGGGGAGUAUGGUCGCAAGGCUGAAACUUAAAGGAAUUGACGGAAGG